AUUGAACGCUGGCGGCAGGCCUAACACAUGCAAGUCGAGCGGAGCGGCGGACGGGUGAGUAAUGCCUAGGUAUCUGCCUGGUAGUGGGGGAUAACGUCCGGAAACGGGCGCUAAUACCGCAUACUAUCAGAUGAGCCUAGGUCGGAUUAGCUAGUUGGUGGGGUAAAGGCCUACCAAGGCGACGAUCUGUAGCGGGUCUGAGUGGAUGAUCCGCCACAUUGGGUCUGGGACAAGGCCCAGAAUCCUACGGGAAGCAGCAGUGGGGAAUAAUGGACAAUGGGGAGAACGCUGAUCCAGCCAUGCCGCGUGUGUGAAGAAGGCCUUAUGGUUGUAAAGCAAUUUAAGCGAGGAGGCGUUACUCGCAGAAGAAGCACCGGCUAACUCCGUGCCAGCAGCCGCGGUAAUAC
rnacentral:rRNA from 1 species